AGUCGAGGGGUAUUUGUCUUCGGGCAGAGAGACCGGCGCACGGGUGCGUAACGCGUAUGCAAUCUACCUUUUACAGAGGGAUAGCCCAGAGAAAUUUGGAUUAAUACCUCAUAGUAUUAUGACUCGGCAUCGAGAUAUAAUUAAAGUUCCAACGGUAAAAGAUGAGCAUGCGUCCCAUUAGCUAGAUGGUAAGGUAACGGCUUACCAUGGCUACGAUGGGUAGGGGUCCUGAGAGGGAGAUCCCCCACACUGGUACUGAGACACGGACCAGACUCCUACGGGAGGCAGCAGUGAGGAAUAUUGGACAAUGGGCGCAAGCCUGAUCCAGCCAUGCCGCGUGCAGGAUGACGGUCCUAUGGAUUGUAAACUGCUUUUGUACGGGAAGAAACAACCCUACGUGUAGGGUCUUGACGGUACCGUAAGAAUAAGGAUCGGCUAACUCCGUGCCAGCAGCCGCGGUAAUACGGAGGAUCCAAGCGUUAUCCGGAAUCAUUGGGUUUAAAGGGUCCGUAGGCGGUUUGGUAAGUCAGUGGUGAAAGCCCAUCGCUCAACGGUGGAACGGCCAUUGAUACUGCCAGACUUGAAUUACUGGGAAGUAACUAGAAUAUGUAGUGUAGCGGUGAAAUGCUUAGAGAUUACAUGGAAUACCAAUUGCGAAGGCAGGUUACUACUGGUGGAUUGACGCUGAUGGACGAAAGCGUGGGUAGCGAACAGGAUUAGAUACCCUGGUAGUCCACGCCGUANACGAUGGAUACUAGCUGUUGGGGGCAACUUCAGUGGCUAAGCGAAAGUGAUAAGUAUCCCACCUGGGGAGUACGUUUCGCAGAAAAUGAACUCAAGGAAUUGACGGGGGCCCGCACAGCG
rnacentral:rRNA from 1 species